AUUGAACGCUGGCGGCAGGCUUAACACAUGGAAGUCGAGCGACCGGCGGACGGGUGAGUAAUGUCUGGGAAACGGCCUGAUGGAGGGGGAUAACUACUGGAAACGGUAGCUAAUACCGCAUACCAUCAGAUGUGCCCAGAUGGGAUUAGCUGGUAGGUGGGGUAAUGGCUCACCUAGGCGACGAUCCCUAGCUGGGCUGCGAGGAUGACCAUCCCCCCUGGAACUGAGACACGGUCCCGCCUCCUCCUCCUGUCCCCCUUUCCUCCUCUUGCCCCCUUCGCGCAAGCCUGGUCCAGCCAUGCCGCGUGUGUGCGUGCUUCCUUCGGGUUCUCCCGCACUUUCAGCGAGGAGGCGUUACUCGCAGAAGAAGCACCGGCUAACUCCGUGCCAGCCGCCGCGGUAAUUC
rnacentral:rRNA from 1 species